UUCAUGUUGUAUCAAUUUUGAUACAAAGUGAAAUAACCCCCAUUGAAUCUACACAAAUGUUAAAAUCUGAGUUUUUAAUAUGCCAUACUCUAGCUUGAUCACUUUUGACCCAACUUCAUACCCAAAACAGACUAUAGGUGUGUUUCGUCUCACACAAUUCGAGUUUGAUUCCGUUUUUUUACACUGGUCGGACAGCUGUGAUCGAGGUGUUUUUGAGAAAAUAAUAAAAAUUCACAGGCCGUGUUUUUCUUCUUGAAAAAAAUAUUCACCAAUCUCAGGAUCUCUUUUUGUCUAGAGCGAGCGAUAAAUUUUGUCGCAAAACUGUUCUGAAUGAAAUAGAUGGUAGACUUCAAGGAGAAUGUAAAUGAAAGUGAAGUUGGUGAUGGGUAAAGAUUCUCACAAAAGAAUUCUGUCUGAAAUAGAGACUGCACAUUUCUUUGGUCACUAAUGUCUAAUUAUUCAUCUAUUUAUUUACCUAAUGUUGAAGGUGUUACUGUAACUGAAAUUGAACACUUAGAAAGUGAUGUAGAGAGAAUAAAGGGAUUGGUUCGGAGCAAGUAAAGCGGUAGACUUUAUUCUGAUAUACAUUUAUAAGCUGUAGGCCUACAUUUAUAAGAUGUACAUUCAUAAGAUGUAAGCAGAUGCUAGUCCAGCAAAGUGGUUAACUAAAACACAUGAAUGUUUUCUAUUAUUUGUGAGGAAUAGGAACUGACCAACAUAGUUUUUAGUGCAAGGCCUUCCGGCUGUUCAAGAUUAUUUUAUUUCACACCAUGGAUAAAGACUAUCUUAGUAUACUGGGUGAAAGGAUUUUCUAGAUCUACAUUGCACAGAGGAAUCCAGAUAAAGCUUGAAGUCUUUGAUAUAGAAGAAAUAAAUCAAUUCAUUGGCUUCUACCAGUCAUGUCUCUGGUUUCAUUGCAUAGGAAAAAGUUCUAAUAAUGGCCAAAUAUCAGCAUUGUAGAUAUAUUCUAAUUUCUUUCAUAUAAACAAGUUUGAGUCAUUAAAAACUACUUUGCAUUUAAAACAAAACAAUUUCAAAUUAUACUAGAUAGAGGUCAUGCUGAGCAAAGUGAUGCUGCUUAUUGACUUACACAAUAAAAAGAUGCAUGAUUACUAAGAAAUAUGACAUAACUGGUAAUAGCAAUAUUGUGAAAAAAAUGUAAAUUACUACCUUGUAAAUGAAUGUCUGAUGCUCCAGAUUUGGGAUGAAUAAGUGUUUUACUCAAAUUAAUAAUUACUCAAUAAAUUUUCAAUGAUAAGUAAAAAAUACUUUUUUGUCAAUUUUAACAAAUUUUUACCCACCAUUGCAUACUGUAUCAAAUCUGAUACAUACUGUUAUUUUGCAAAAUAAACAUUAUUUGAUAAAAUAAUUCAAUUUCCUCAUUAUUUAUGCUCUCUACACACCACAGCCCACCUUGUAAGAUUUUUUUUUCUCAAAAAGCUUUCACAAAAUUAAUUCAUGAAAUGAAGGG